UACAGAGGUCUCAAGCGUUGUUCGGAUUCAUUGGGCGUAAAGGGCGCGUAGGCUGCGGGGCAAGUCGGGUGUGAAAUCUCAGAGCUCAACUCUGAAACUGCACUCGAUACUGCUUUGCUCGAGGACUGGAGAGGAGAUUGGAAUUCACGGUGUAGCAGUGAAAUGCGUAGAUAUCGUGAGGAAGACCAGUGGCGAAGGCGGAUCUCUGGACAGCUCCUGACGCUGAGGCGCGAAGGCUAGGGGAGCAAACGGG
rnacentral:rRNA from 1 species